rnacentral:rRNA from 1 species
AUUGAACGCUGGCGGCACGCCUUACACAUGCAAGUCGAACGGUAACAGGUCUUCGGAUGCUGACGAGUGGCGAACGGGUGAGUAAUACAUCGGAACGUGCCUAGUAGUGGGGGAUAACUACUCGAAAGAGUGGCUAAUACCGCAUGAGAUCUACGGAUGAAAGCAGGGGAUCGCAAGACCUUGCGCUACUAGAGCGGCCGAUGGCAGAUUAGGUAGUUGGUGGGAUAAAAGCUUACCAAGCCGACGAUCUGUAGCUGGUCUGAGAGGACGAUCAGCCACACUGGGACUGAGACACGGCCCAGACUCCUACGGGAGGCAGCAGUGGGGAAUUUUGGACAAUGGGCGAAAGCCUGAUCCAGCAAUGCCGCGUGCAGGAUGAAGGCCUUCGGGUUGUAAACUGCGUUUGUACGGAACGAAAAGCCCCGGGUUAAUACCCUGGGGUCAUGACGGUACCGUAAGAAUAAGCACCGGCUAACUACGUGCCAGCCGCCGCCGUAA